rnacentral:sRNA from 1 species
CAUAUUCUUACACACAUCACUGUCUCAGGUUUUGUUAGAAAUGGGUUCAGAAUGAUUUUAAAAAGUUGUAAAAGAGAUUGCAGUGAUCUUCCGAUCAUCUUGGGAAAAGCGCAAUUAUGAAGAGUUUUGUCGAUAAAUAUCAGUGAUUUGGUAGGGGAAAUCCGUCUUCACAUGGUUUUUUCAUUGUAAGGUAGUAGAUUAGGCAACGA